UCGGGAAUUUUGGGCAAUGGGCGAAAGCCUGACCCAGCAACGCCGCGUGAGUGAAGAAGGUUUUCGGAUCGUAAAACUCUGUUGUUAGAGAAGAACGUUGUGUAGAGUGGAAAAUUACACAAGUGACGGUAUCUAACCAGAAAGGGACGGCUAACUACGUGCCAGCAGCCGCGGUAAUACGUAGGUCCCGAGCGUUGUCCGGAUUUAUUGGGCGUAAAGCGAGCGCAGGUGGUUUAAUAAGUCUGAUGUAAAAGGCAGUGGCUCAACCAUUGUGUGCAUUGGAAACUGUUAGACUUGAGUGCAGUAGAGGAGAGUGGAAUUCCAUGUGUAGCGGUGAAAUGCGUAGAUAUAUGGAGGAACACCGGUGGCGAAAGCGGCUCUCUGGACUGUAACUGACACUGUGGCUCGAAAGCGUGGGUAGCAAACA
rnacentral:rRNA from 1 species